GACUGGCGGCGCUGGCUUGGCUUCUGCCUGAAGAGGAUUCAAGAUGACCAACGAAGAACCUCUUCCCAAGAAGGUUCGACUGAGUGAAACAGACUUCAAAGUUAUGGCAAGAGAUGAGUUAAUUCUAAGAUGGAAACAAUAUGAAGCAUAUGUACAGGCUUUGGAGGGCAAGUACACAGAUCUUAAUUCUAAUGAUGUAACUGGCCUAAGAGAGUCUGAAGAAAAACUAAAGCAACAACAGCAGGAGUCAGCACGCAGGGAAAACAUCCUUGUAAUGCGACUAGCAACCAAGGAACAAGAGAUGCAAGACAGUACCUCAAGCAAGUCCAGCAGCCGAGCGUUGCCCAACUGAGAUCAACAAUGGUAGACCCAGCGAUCAACUUGUUUUUCCUAAAAAUGAAAGGUGAACUGGAACAGACUAAAGACAAACUAGAACAAGCCCAAAAUGAACUGAGUGCCUGGAAGUUUACGCCUGAUAGCCAAACAGGGGAAAAGUUAAUGGCGAAGUGUCGAAUGCUUAUCCAGGAGAAUCAAGAGCUUGGAAGGCAGCUGUCCCAGGGACGUAGUGCACAACUUGAAGCAGAGUUGGCGUUACAGAAGAAAUAUAGUGAGGAGCUUAAAAGCAGUCAGGAUGAACUGAAUGGCUUCAUCAUCCAGCUUGAUGAAGAAGUAGAGGGUAUGCAGAGUACCAUUCUCGUUCUGCAGCAGCAGCUGAAGGAGACACGCCAGCAGUUGGCUCAGUACCAGCAGCAGCAGUCUCAGGCCUCUGCCCCAAGUACCAGCAGGACUACAGCUUCUGAACCUGUAGAACAGUUGGAGGCCACAAGUAAAGACUGCAGUCGUCUGACAAACGGACCAAGUAAUGGUAGCUCCUCCCGCCAGAGGACGUCUGGGUCUGGAUUUCACAGGGAGGGCAACACAACCGAAGAUGAUUUUCCUUCUUCUCCAGGGAAUGGUAAUAAGUCCUCCAACAGCUCAGAGGAGAGAACUGGCAGAGGAGGUAGUGGUUACGUAAAUCAACUCAGUGCGGGGUAUGAAAGUGUAGACUCUCCCACGGGCAGUGAAAACUCUCUCACACACCAAACAAAUGACACAGAUUCCAAUCAUGACCCUCAAGAGGAGAAAGCAGUGAGUGGGAAAGAUAACCGAACUGUGGGCUCCCGCCAUGUUCCGAAUGGCUUGGACUCAAGUGUAAAUGUACAGGGUUCAGUUUUGUAAUAUUUUUUCAGCAAAUUUUUAUACAGUGUCAUUUAAUUUGGGAGAGGAUACUUUCCAGAAAAUUAAUGCAAACUUUUGUCACAAUUUGCCUUUUUGUGGGUGUACGUUUUGGUUUUUUGUUGUUGUUUUCUCUUUUUUUUUUUCUUUUUUCUUUUUUUUUUUUUUUUUGCUUCAAUACCUCUGCCACUUUGGAUAUUGUAACAGUUAAUUACUUUGAAUGUUGCUAAAAGAACAUUUUUUGUAGGGUCAAGUUAUUUUUAUAUGAGUUAAUGUGAAAUUGUAAAGGAAAUUUUUCCUUAAAAUAUAACACAAUGACGUCUGUAUAAAUCUAUGUCUGUUUAGAACCUGUGCUGUGUAAGGGCAUUCUUCCUCAUGCUGUUACUGUACUUAUGCACCAUUCAGACUUGUUAGAGUAGAUGUGGGUUUAUGACUGCCAAGUUUGCCCAGUACAGUAGUUUUUUAUCACUAAAAGUUGGACUCAUUGAUGGAGUCCUGUAGUAGUUUCAGUGUUAGAUACAGUUUUUUCCACCAUACAUCUGUGCAUUUUCUCUUUAGGUGACUGAAUGUUUAAGAAAUUUGUGUGCAUAGUUACUCAGUUUUUAUGAACUGUUGUAUCCUGUUAAUGCAUAUUGCUCUGUGACUCCAGUAUAUCUUACCUGUACUGACCAAACCUAAAUAAAGAUUUUUAUUGUAACUCCUUAAAAAAA